UCUCCUGCUCGAUAUCGAGCCGAACGUUUCCGUUAACACUGACGCGCGGCACGACGCGCAGGAUAAUGCCGGUGUUGCGAUAAUCGAUGGUGUUGACCACAGUGUUGCUGGUCGUCAACACAGUGGCGCUGCCGGUCGAGACCGGCACCUCGUCGCCGACUUGCAGCGUCGCCGGCUGAUUGUCGAUGACAACGAGAGAGGGAUUCGACAGCACCUUCACGCUGGUUACGCUAUGCAAUGCAUCGAGAAUGACGCGGGGCUGGUUCUCCGGUCC
rnacentral:misc_RNA from 1 species